GAUGAAGAACGUAGCGAAAUGCGAUAAGUAAUGUGAAUUGCAGAAUUCAGUGAAUCAUCGAAUCUUUGAACGCACAUUGCGCCCAUUAGUAUUCUAGUGGGCAUGCCUGUUCGAGCGUCAUUAAGUCCACUUAAGCCCUGCUUAGUGUUGGGAGACUGCUCCAGCGGUGCUACCCUGUAGCUACCCUGCAGCUCCUCAAAGACAGCGGCGGAGUUGUGGUAUCCUCUGAGCUUAGUAACUUGUUCUAGCUUUCGANNNNACCACUUCCCCUGCCGUAAAACCCUUAAUUUUUAAUGGUUGACCUCGGAUCAGGUAGGAAUACCCGCUGAACUUAAGCAUAUCAAUAAGCGGAGGA
rnacentral:misc_RNA from 1 species